UUUCGGGCUUGAAUUUUAAUGGCUUGGGCUUCACAUCUAAAUUCGAAUUGGGCCUUUAUCUAUAUUAUUUGGGCAGAAUUAUUUGAGCUUGGGUUUGUUUUAUUUUAAAGGAAUUGAGCUUCCAAUUUAAUUGAUUGGGCUUUCAUUAAAUUCGAACUGGGCCAAUCUUUAAUUUAAUUGGCCUUCUCAUUAAUUCUAUUGGGCUUGAUUUAUUUAAGGAAUUGGGCUGAUGCAUAUUUUAUGAUGGGCUAUUAUUCCAAACCUCAAUUAUUAUUUGGACCCCUAUUUUAAUUGUUUUGGGUCGAAGACUUUUUAAGAUGGGCUUUAAUUCUUUUAAAGCUUGAGCUGAAGUUACUCAUUUGAGCUAAGCCUAGCAGUAUCAAUUUUUGAUGGAGCCCAAUUAUUUAUCAGUGGGUGAGCCGAUUCGUAUUCAGUAAAUGAGCCGCCCAGUUUAUUAAUUAUUGUUUUGGACUUCAGACUUUAAAGCAAGCUAUUAUGGUUUAUUUCAUUAAAGCCCAACUACAUUGUAUUUUAAUUGGGCUGUUGUAUUAUCUGAGCUGGACCUUGAUUGAUUUAUUUAUUUGAGCCCAACUAACCAAUUAUUUUACUUCAGUUGGGCCUUAUUUAUUUUAUUCAGAUGGGCCUCUAUUACUUCAUUUCAAUUGGGCCCUUUAUAUAAUUAUUCAGGCCCACUUUUACUUAAUUAAUUAUUAGGCUGCCUUAUGUCGAGUCUUUUAAUUAAUUAAACUUACAACAAUACUUUCUUCCAUUUAUUAAGCCCGAUUGAGUUUUUGAGGUUAUAAGACGAAUAAGUUGAAGUAUUUAUUUAUUUAUUUUCUAUUGACUACGAGGAGCGGGGUUUAUUAAAUUGACGGUUUAGAACAUCCCGAAGAGAACGGAUUAAUUUUAGUUAAUUAUCCGGCUUCAUGAGACGAGACUUAGCUUUUGUUUAAAUCCGAUAGCCUGGAUUAACAAUAGAAAUUCCCUGAUUAUUGCUCAGAAGAUUAGUUCAUGCAUACCAGAUUCAUGCAUAAUAGUUAAAUUACGCUUUCUCAUUAAUUGAGAAUUUUCCUCGAGCCAAUGUCUUAUUUUAUAUUCUCGUGAUUAAGGUCAAGAGCGAGAGUAAGAACUAUUCAAGGAGUCACAGUACCUUAGCAAAACUUUGCUAUCAGGUUGAGUUGUGAUGGGCGAUGAAGUGUUGCUGAGUGGAGUUUUUGUUGAACUUAAAGUAGGCUCAGAAAGGAUACAUGUCUUCAUACAUGUAUCUCAGUUAUGCAUUCCGCUGUAAACACUAAUUAUUUCAGUUACACCUUCCGUUGCAAACUCUGAUAAUGUUUUAGCCAAGCCCCUAACGAUGCCUUUUUCCUUUUAAGGAAUAUAACGCUUAUACAAGUUCGUUGAGUACCCUUUUUAUGCGAACUAUGCCUUUUUCCUUUUUAAGGAAUAUUUCACGCGUAUUCAAGCUCUUUGAGUAUUCUUUUAUGCGCCCCUUUCUAAACCCGCUUCGUAAUUUCCCUUCCCCAGUCAUGGUUUUCCCGGAUUAAUUAUCCUUAAUUAAGGCCGGUCGUGACAGAGUGGUAUCAGAGCAGUUCGUUUGCUCUGAGCCUAAGAGUUUAUUUAAGCCAAACUUAGAAUGGAUCACUAAAGUGUCUAGAGUUCAAUCGACAAAGCUCAGCACUUCAUCGCAUCACACUCAACGAAGCAGAAUGGUAAGCUAUUCCAAGUUUUGAGUUAAUGUUUACAAAAAGUGAGAACUAUCGUAAUAACAAAGUGAGUAACUGUCAAUAGCUUUGUUAUGUUGUUAUUGAAUGAAA